rnacentral:snRNA from 1 species
AUCGCUUCUCGGCCUUUUGGCUAACAUCAAGUGUAGUAUCUGUUCUUAUCAGUUUAAUAUCUGAUACGCCCCCGAUUCGGGGGCAACGUAUUAAACGCAUUUUUAGAACAGGGAGCUGAAUAACGGGCUCGCUCCGUUCGCUCCACGCAUCGACCCGGUAUUGCAGCGCCUCCGGGAACGGUGCCCCCUUU